AGCGUAUAUUAAAGUUGUUGCAGUUAAAAAGCUCGUAGUUGAAUUUCGGGAUUGGCGCAUCGGUCGUGCCUCACGGGGUAUGAACUGGUGCAGUCAAUUUCUCACCUUCUGGAGAACCGCGAUGUCCUUAAUUGGAUGCCGUGGGGAACCAGGACCUUUACUUUGAAAGAAUUAGAGUGUUUAAAGCUGGCAUUUUUGCUUGAAUACAUUANCAUGGAAUAAUAAAAUAGGACGGCAUGGUUCUAUUUUGUUGGUUUCUAGGACCACCGUAAUGAUUAAUAGGGAUAGUUGGGGGCAUUAGUAUUCAAUUGUCAGAGGUGAAAUUCUUGGAUUUAUUGAAGACUAACUACUGCGAAAGCAUUUGCCAAGGAUGUUUUCAUUAAUCAAGAACGAAAGUUAGGGGAUCGAAGACGAUCAGAUACCGUCGUAGUCUUAACCAUAAAC
rnacentral:rRNA from 1 species